CAUAAUUUUUGUACUGCGUAUAUAAAUGUUUAAUUUUAUUGUAUGUAAAAAUCUAUUUCAAAGGAAAAAAGUAUGCUGUUGUGAUUUUCACAGAAAGUGACACUGUCGAAGUCAUACCGACUAAGUGGUUAUUGAGCAAAGAUGUGGCAAAGUGACCUAGCAAGUUGCCCACUUAUCAAAUUACUAAGUAUCUGCGGGACAACUUGCCUGCAGAUGACCAAUGGGAGAAUUUUAAAGUUAAAGUUCUUUGCUCUUCCAGUUCUUUUAAAAGUGCCCACAUUGAAGCUCAAGAAGCACAACAAACAUCAAAUCUUGAGUCAUCUGCAACUGAAGAUGAUGCAACUAAUACAAAAAGGAAACGGCAAAUACCUCUACGAUUUAAGCAUGAUCCUAGCACAGAUGAUGAUCUUGAAAAUUGUUUAAAUUUUAAGAAAUCUCCCAGAAAGAAAAGGUUUAAGGUACCCACCCUUCCCUCCUCAAGUUGUCACUUUGUAUAGUCACCACUGAAGUCCCCGGCUGUUGUGCAGUCAUCCCAAAGCUAUUCGGAAUCUAUGUUGGCAGGCAGUGACAUUGCAGUUACUCUCAAUGAGGUCCCACCAAUUCCCAUUGAGUUUGAUGAAGUUCCACAGACUUCAAGCCAGAAAUGUUUCCAGCAAUGCCAGAGCAGAAUAAUUUGUAUCCAGAAACCUCUGUUACAGUUACAGUGCCUGAAAUUACCGAUGUUGUUGAAGCCAGUGCUGCCUCAUUAUUUGGAAUGAGUGAGUUGUUAUUAAUUAUUUCUAUCCUUAUUUAUUGAUAAUGAUUUAAUAAAAGUUGUU